rnacentral:tRNA from 1 species
GGGCCCAUAGCACAACGGUUAGUGCAGAGGACUCAUAAUCCUUUGGUUGCAGGUUCGAAUCCCGCUGGGCCCACCA